rnacentral:lncRNA from 1 species
CGCAAAGACUAACACAGAUGUAAAACAGGUGUUGGCCACUCCCAGAACAUAUGCCUAAGACAACAAGCAAGCUGAGAGUAAUUUGGUACACGAACUGGUUGUCCCUUCCAUGCCACCUCUCCAUUGACAGUUAUGCUGGAAAUGAGAUUUAACAGCAAAGAUUUCUCUUUCCUACACCAUGCCCAACUUCCUCAGUGCUAGUAGCUUUGGAUGUGAGAGGAAGACCACACACACACACACACACACACACACACACACAGACACACACAGACACACACACACACACUGAGUUUAGAUCAACAAGCAUAUACUGAGUGCCCAUUACCAGGUGUCAUGCUGGAAUUAUAGGCACAGGUGGAGCCUCAGGAGUCAAGCUCUCUGAAUUCACACCCCAGUUUAUCUCUCAGUAGCUGGAUAGCCUCAGGCAAGUUCCUCAGCCUUUCUAAGCCGUAGCUGCUUUACCUGCAAAACAAGGAUACUAAUAACACCUACUUCAUGGGAGUUUGUGACUAUCAAAUAAGAUAAUUCGUAUACAGUUGCCUGGCAUCUAGUAUGUGCAAUAAACUGAGCUAUAAUCACCACCAUCAUCAUCGCAGCAUAGCCUCAGUCUUUAUCCCCAGGUAAACUAGGGUGAAAAGACACAUAAACAGAUUAUGCCCAUUUUUUGUGAGAUGGUAAGUGGACUUCAGAAAAGAGGCACUUAGCUCAACGUGGAAUGCAAGGAAGGUCUCUGAGCUGAGAGUCAAAAGGUAUGGGAAAAAGAAGUCAUCUGUCUUCAAAUCACGAAGAAAGUCCUCAUCAGGAACCAAAUCAUCUGCCACCUUGCUCUUGGACUUCCCAGGCUCUAGAACUAUGAGAAAUAAAUUUUUUGCUGGAUGAAGUGGCUCAUGCCUGUAAUCCCAAAUUUUUCAGAGGCCAAGGCAGUAGGAUCACUUGGGUCCAGGAGUUCAAGACAAGCCUGGGCAACAAAGUGAGACUCUGUCUCUCCAAAAGUCAAAAACUUAGCCAGGCAUGGUAGCAUGAGCCUGUGGUUCCAGCCUUACAAGAGGCUGAGGCAGGAGGAUUGCUUGAGCCAAAAAGAAGAGGCUGCAAUGAGCUGUG